ACCUGGCUGGCUCAGUCGAUGGAGCGAGUGACUCUUGAACUCAGGGUUGUGGGUUCGAGUCCCACAUUGGGUG
rnacentral:tRNA from 1 species